GCCUUAGCCACCGCCAUGACGACCUCGUCCACCUGGCAGGUGCGCCACAACUACCACCAGGACUCAGAGACUACCAUCAACUGCCAGAUCAGCCUGGAGCUCUACGCCUCCUACAUUUACCUGUCCAUGUCUUACUACUUUGACCGCCAUAAUGUGGCCUUGAAGAACUUUGCCAAAUACUUUCUUCACCAAUCUCAUGAGGAGAGGGAACAUGCCGAGAAACUGAUGAAACUGCAGAACCAACGAAGUGGCCGAAUCUUCCUUCAGGAUAUCAAGAAACCAGACUAUGACGACUGAGAGAGUGGGCUGAAUGCGACGGAGUGUGAAUUAUAUUUGGAAAAAAAAUGUGAAUCAGUCACUACUGGAACUGCACAAACUGGCCACUGACAAAAAUGACCCCCAUUUGUGUGACUUCAUUGAGACACAUUACCUGAAUGAGCAGGUGAAAGCCAUCAAAGAAUUGGGUGACCAACUUGCACAAGAUGGGAGCACUCGAAUCUGGCUUGGCAGAGUAUCUCUUUGACAAGCACACCCUGGGAGACAGUGAUAAUGAAAGCUAAGCCUCAGGCGAAUUUCCCCAUAGCCAUGGGGUGACUUCCCUGGUCACCAAGGCAGUGCAUGCAUGUUGGGGUUUCCUUUACCUUUUCUAUACGUUGUACCAAAACAUCCACUUAAGUUCUUUGAUUUGUACCAUUCCUUCAAAAAAGAAAUCUGGUACCC